GUUUUUAAAGGUUUAAAAUGGGUAAUUAUGUGAUGGAUUGAAAUGUGUUCAUUAUUUGUCAGAGGUAUAUUUAAUCAUUCUGCUUUUAUUUGUGUACAGUAUAGCAAGCAUUACAGACUUGAAUGUCACUGUUUACAUUACAAUGUGUUUCUCAACUGUUCAGGGCAAUUACAGGUUAAUGUCUAAACAGAUUUAGUAGCUGUAAUAAUCAAAUGCAACCAGCAGGGGCAGUCAAGCACUAGUGAGCCAUAGUAAAGAGCACCAGAACUUCCUCCUCAGUCAAUACAAGCUGGAGUAGAGGAAAGAAAGUGUCUGUGGCUCAUUUAUUCAAUUAUUCCCCUUUUCAGGGCUUUUACAUUUGGAGGCACCGCUGGGAUUGCUGAUUUUGAGGCUGGAAUCCUACAUCUGAGGAGAACACCCCACAUCAACAAUCCCAUAUCAUAACCCAGGGGGGGCGGACGGGCCGAGGGACAGUCUGUCCAAAAUGGCACCACCCUCCCAUAAAAAGAUGAGUAGAAAAAAAAAGCCUUUUGUUCUCUGUGACAAUGUUUUUCUGUCAUUUUAGGCCUCACAUGUGGAAAAGCCUUUAAUUUUGAAUUUUGGGUUUAUUUACGUUAUUUAACAAAGGCUAUAUUAGUUUGUUUUUGAUUACCAUUGUUCACUGAACAAUAGUACUAGCUCCGUUUGUCUAUCUAUCUUUUCCUCUUGUGACUAAUUUUUGGCUUUAAGGGUGCACCUGAUAAUUUUAUUUUUUAUUGGAUAAUGUUUUUGUCAGGUGUUAUUUUGACCUGGGUGUUUUUGUUGUUUUUUUUAAACCUUAUCUUAUCAUGUUUUCAAUAGGUUAUUAUGGUCUUCACCUGUUUAGACUAUCUGUCUUACUGAGCUUGGAAAAUUGAUCUUAGCAUUUAGAGAAACACGAACAUCUGAUUACUUACUGUUUGGGUUUGGUUGAAUUUUGCAAAAUGCUUGCCAAUAAUUAUUGCCAUAAGAGAGUUUUGUGUUAUUUUUGGUUAGCUGGUUCCCUGCAUAUUAAAGAGCCCAGUCACUUAUAUAAAAAAGUCCUCAGAGGGAACAAAAAAACAUGGUUAAACGUGUUGAUAAGGAAGUACUGUUUGCAUUUUUUUAAUCUAAAACUAAAUAUGACCGUGAGUCUGCAGAAACACCACUGCCUAUGCAGUCUCACAUGGCGGACCUUUCGUUUAAAUACACAUUGUGGGGUAUUUCAGAUCUGACCUUGUUUCCCCCCAUGUUGUUGAAAAACAUUUUAAAACAUACUCUGAAAAGCAGGUGGACCUCCACUCCUAGUUGCGUCGCAUUGCACGCGUUCAUACAUCUGUCUCCUCAAACAUUUCGUCACAUCUUUCAUCGCUCCUCAGCUUUUAUCUCAGCCAUUUCAGGGUUUUUAUCUCACGACGAGACCAUACCUGAGUGGCUCAGUGGGAGCUGUCCAGCGCCCCGCGAUCUGGCCCACUCAUACUUGCUGGAUCUCCACUGAGGCACAGUUAAAGGGUGUGGGGGCCCAGCUCAUGGGUGUCUGAGUGAGGGGGGUGCUUGUGUGUGCGUGUGUGGGGGUGAUGAUGACAUCGGUUCCUCCUAGGUUUUUUUUCCACCACAUAUGUAAAGCUGAGGCUGCAAAUUUGUUGGUCUUACAGAGACGUGCAGCACAGCUGAUAAGUUACUUGCAUAAAUACAUAAAAGGAAAAACUAAAAACCUGUUUCACAGGCAGUUCCUGGGGGCCAGUCGACUGUAUUACAUUGCUAAAUGAAUGGUGAAUAAACUUUUGCUGUAAAGCAGCAGAGACUAUUGCAAUCUGUGUGCUUAAAGAAUAUGACACCUGGCGUCCCACUGGCCUUUGUUCAAAGAACAAGAGCAUUUUUGUUUAUAUAUGAGGAUAAGACGGAGAACUGAUGUGUUUUUGAGUAAUAUUAUUUAUAAACUACGAUUGUAUAAUUUAAUCAUCAUCAUUUUCACACACAAACUGUCCAUCUAAAAUAAGUGUUUUUGAGUUUUUUCUAAAUUUUGUUUUUCUCUCUGAGUGUUUGUGUGAGUUUUUCCGCAGGGCGAAUGCUGUUCUCACCGGGGGUUCUCCAUUUCCACCUGGAACCAGCUGUGUGCCACCUCGUGCUAACCUUUCCAACGGGCGUUUCCUGGGGGUCCUUUUGGGGGGGCGGCAUCCCUCCCACAUCAUCACGUUCCACCUUUGAGCAGGCCGUGUGCGGCUGCUCUCUCUGGGCGAGAUUUCUAAAACGCUACACCUCUGGCCUUGUGUUUUGGUGUGGUUUCUGAUCACACACCCUCUGCCUUAAUGAAAUAAAGAGAACAGGACUGUUUUUUACACCCAGGCUAAAUUAGCUGGGUGAGAGUGCUUUUCACCACACUGUUUGCAUUUUUUCCGCCAACAUGAAACAUUCAGUAUAAACCCCCCCUAUCUGAAAUACUGGACUAACUUUGUGUUUUUCUGACUGGCUUAUUAUUAUGUAUUUUAAACGUUUCACUGUUUUGCCUGCAAUGCAAUUAUGUCUGUGCAAUGUUUGGAAUUUCCUGGUUUUUCUCAGGGAUUGUUUUGAUGCCCUGGGUAGCUGGGUUGGUAUUUAGCUCCCCCUCCUGGGCGGUAUCAGGGUUACCCCUGGUCCAUUUCUGAAGCCCAUCUCAUAACAUAAUUUUAAAACAUUAGACACUUCUGGAUGUUUGGGUUUUUGUGUUUUUUUUUAAUUUUAUGGAUUGUUUUAUUUGGUUUGUGAUUUUAUAGUGUUUUGUCCUUCUGUGCAGCUUCCUGGUAAAGUUUAGGUGAUUGUCGGCUGAGUCUCAGGGAGGCUCCUCCCACGACAGUCACAUUUUUGUUUGUUUGUUCCUUUCUGCGUUUGUGGUAAGCUGGGGAGGGGGUAUUCUGCUACCUCGAGCCUGGUACGCUACAAAAACAUAUUUGAGGGAGAAUUCACCUGUCUGGGUUGUUUGAGGUCCAGGAGCUGAGAUGUGCUGUCUAACAACAUCUUUGUCAUCACAGAAGGACUAGAUCUAGGCUUACGUUGGUUUUAGCUUAGGUGUAACAAGAAGAGGGGGGUGCUAUUUCUUUUAGUUUAAUUUAUUUAGACUUUAGAUUUAGCUUUUGUUUGUUAUUUUGGUUAAACUUUUGUUUUUUCUCUUUUUCUUGCACAAUCCAGCUCAUGCCAGUAAUCCAUACAUUUUGAGUUCACGCCUUAUGGGAUCUGUGGUUUUUGACAAAACUGAUUUUGAAACUUUCAUUUUUUUUUUCUUUUUUUACCUGCUUACUUUUCUGGGGUUGCAGAGUUUACCUUAUGUAUGCUCUGGUACAGGGGUGCCCAAACAUUUUUUCCUGAGAGGGCCAAAA